rnacentral:rRNA from 1 species
AUGACCGGCUGCCGAGGAAGUUUUAUUGUACUGGAUGAGUCCAUACAGGGACGUGUGAAGUUUGGUGAUGAUUCUGUGGUGAAGAUUCUUGGCAAAGGUACAGUGUUGCUUCAGACCGUAAGUGGCCAGCACAUACUCCUUAAUGAUGUGUAUUUUGUUUCCAAGCUCACAAGCAGUAUACCGAGCCUUGGUCAGCUCGAUGAGGAUGGGUGCAAAUCAGUGCUACGCCAUGGGUUUCUGAGUGUGUUUGAUCGCUCAGGGAAGCUACUGGCCAGAGCCCGGAAAACCAAGAAUUGGCCCUAUGUGCUGAAUCUUAAGAAGACAACAGUUGUGUUCGAUUCAGGUUCGAUGACAGCAGUAGAAUGUGGAGGUUCUGUUAAAGGUAGCACUGACGUCGAGCCGGCUUGA